rnacentral:tRNA from 1 species
UGCGGAGUAGUCCAAUGGCAGAGACACGAGUUUCAUAAGCUCGUAUAGUGUGGGUUCAAGUCCCAUCUCCGCUUCCA